CGCGGGGUGGAGCAGUCUGGUAGCUCGUCGGGCUCAUAACCCGAAGGUUGCAGGUUCAAAUCCUGCCCCCGCAACCA
rnacentral:tRNA from 2 species